CCUACGGGAGGCAGCAGUGAGGAAUAUUGGUCAAUGGACGAGAGUCUGAACCAGCCAAGUAGCGUGAAGGAUGACUGCCCUAUGGGUUGUAAACUUCUUUUAUAUGGGAAUAAAAUGUUCCACGUGUGGGAUUUUGUAUGUACCAUAUGAAUAAGGAUCGGCUAACUCCGUGCCAGCAGCCGCGGUAAUACGGAGGAUCCGAGCGUUAUCCGGAUUUAUUGGGUUUAAAGGGAGCGUAGGUGGAUUGUUAAGUCAGUUGUGAAAGUUUGCGGCUCAACCGUAAAAUUGCAGUUGAAACUGGCAGUCUUGAGUACAGUAGAGGUGGGCGGAAGGCGUGGUGUAGCGGUGAAAUGCUUAGAUAUCACGAAGAACUCCGAUUGCGAAGGCAGUUCACUGGACUGCAACUGACACUGAGGCUCGAAAGUGUGGGUAUCAAACAGGAUUAGAUACCCCAGUAGUC
rnacentral:rRNA from 1 species